AUGUAUCUGAUUAGUCUUCUCGUUUUCUGUUCGAUUGAAUCUGUGACGAUCAGGGAGGAGUUUGCAGUGCACUGUGACUGUAUUCAUCAUCUUCGGAUCAAUCUUAGGUGUCAUCACAGGUUGGUGAUCCUUCGCUCUUUCUUCGAUUUCUUGAUACGAAUAGGGGGAACGGAGAAAGUAGAAUCGGAAUCCCAAGGAAGUGUGGUUGGAGGCGUUAACAUGACGAUUGAAUUUUGCCUUGAAUAUACUUAG